GGCUCUGUGGCGCAAUGGAUAGCGCGUUGGAUUUCUAAUUCAAAGGUUGUGGGUUCGAGUCCUACCAGAGUCG
rnacentral:tRNA from 1 species